rnacentral:antisense_RNA from 1 species
AAGGGAGGCAUGAGGGAUGUCAAGGCCCAAGCCACUGAAGCCUGGUGGGUGCUGGCCAGACAUUCUCAGUGCCAUUCAAGUCCCUUCACGUGGUAACUUUCCCAUAGCUGAGGGUCAACCAUGAGUGGCCAGCGCUCACAGUUGAUGAGAAUGGUGGCAUUCUCCAUGGACAUGCGGUCGGCUGGGAGGCCCUCGUUCUGCCAGGCAGCCACGUCAGCAUCAUCCAUCAGCAUCCUCAGGGGAUCCAGGGCCGGGGUGACUGGAAUGGGAGUCUGGUGAAGAAGAAACG